GACAGCCCGUUUCCAGACCCGCACAUAACAGAUGGGUGUGUGUAUGUGUGUGCAUAUAUGUAUAGUUUUAUUUAUUAUUUUUGAGAGGGUUUAAAGGCAGUGAUAUACAUUGUCUUAAAAGGUAACAGCACGGGUCAGUACCUGUCCAGCCUUGUACCAUGUGUCAUCUCCCUGUUUGGCCAGCAAUUCUCGCCGGCCAUCCUGGUUGGUGUUACCCUGGUGUGUUUCCCUGCUCCCUGGGCUGCCAUGUGACUUAACAGGCUAUGGAAAGUAUAAAAACAGCUCCUCUCACCGAGCAGAAGUGAACAGGCUUCCAUUGACGGCGCCGAAGCAGGACAACCCCACAAAGACAGGGAUGAGCCAAGACAUGACGCCGAGGUGAUAUUCGCCAAAGAUC